rfam:Triticum aestivum genome assembly, contig: Triticum_aestivum_CS42_TGACv1_scaffold_406277_5BL
AACAUACUCCCUCUGUCCGAAAAUACUUGUCGUCAAAAUGAAUAAAAAAGAAAUGUAUCUAGUACAUCUCUUUUUAUCCAUUUUGAUGACAAGUACUUCCGGACGAGAGAGUACAUG